ACAAACACUUUGCAAUGGUGAAAGUAAUUGUUAUCACUGACACACUAUCAUCAGUCAAAGGCUCAAAAGUCAAUACUCAAUGGACCAAGUUUCACUCUAUACAGAUCUUGAAAUUCAUGGAAACUAAUUAAUUCUAAGGAAUGGCUAUAUAUUUGUGUGCACAAAUUCUUAUCACUGACACUCUCAUCAGACUCAAAAGUCGAUACUCAUUGGACUAAGUUUCACUCUAUACAGAUACUGAAAUUCAUGGAAACUAAUGAAUUCUAAGCCGUGACUAUCUAGUUGU
rnacentral:misc_RNA from 1 species